rnacentral:tRNA from 1 species
GACGUAGCUCAGUUGGUUAGAGCGCUGGAUUGUGGUUCCAGAGGUCGUGGGUUCGAGUCCCAUCUUC